rnacentral:rRNA from 1 species
ACGAACGCUGGCGGCGGGCUUAACACAUGCAAGUCGAACGGAAAGGCCCUGCUUUUGUGGGGUGCUCGAGUGGCGAACGGGUGAGUAACACGUGAGUAACCUGCCCUUGACUUUGGGAUAACUUCAGGAAACUGGGGCUAAUACCGGAUAGGAGCUCCUGCUGCAUGGUGGGGGUUGGAAAGUUUCGGCGGUUGGGGAUGGACUCGCGGCUUAUCAGCUUGUUGGUGGGGUAGUGGCUUACCAAGGCUUUGACGGGUAGCCGGCCUGAGAGGGUGACCGGCCACAUUGGGACUGAGAUACGGCCCAGACUCCUACGGGAGGCAGCAGUGGGGAAUAUUGCACAAUGGGCGGAAGCCUGAUGCAGCAACGCCGCGUGCGGGAUGACGGCCUUCGGGUUGUAAACCGCUUUCGCCUGUGACGAAGCGUGAGUGACGGUAAUGGGUAAAGAAGCACCGGCUAACUACGUG